GAUGAAGAACGUAGCGAAAUGCGAUACUUGGUGUGAAUUGCAGAAUCCCGUGAACCAUCGAGUCUUUGAACGCAAGUUGCGCCCGAAGCCUCGGCUAAGGGCACGUCUGCCUGGGCGUCACGCAUCGCGUCUCCCCCAAACCGCCAAGGCGGAGGGGAAGGAAGAUGGCUUCCCGUGCCUCACCCGGCGCGGUUGGCCUAAAUUUGGAGCCCGCGGCACUUAGCUCUCGCGGCGAUAGGUGGUGAACAAGGCCUUGGCCGUGCAAACAACCCGCUGCGAAGCUCUAUGUCACGUGCGCUCGUCGGACCCUUUGAAGUUGCCUUCGGUGACUUAAAACCUUUGCGACCCCAGGUCAGGCGGGGCUACCCGCUGAAUUUAAGCAUAUCAAUAAGCGGA
rnacentral:misc_RNA from 1 species